GGAGCUGUUCCUUUCAGUGCUGUCAACAGCGAGCCCUGGGGAGUUUGCUCUUUCAAACCGGAUGACAGCCAGUGACAGAUUUCUUAAUAUUUGUUACAGUUUUGAUGCUUUUUAACUGUAGGGCGCAUCAGGAGAAAAAGAUUCACUGUUCUGAAUAGCUGAACCUGGCCUUUUUGUUCCCAACAUUUUAGCUUAAAGGGAUAGCUUUUAAAUGUAAAACCUGUGAUAUGAGAUUAUUUAAUUAAAAUCGAAACAGCUGUAUUUUGAAUUUGUCAUGUUUCAGAGCUAGAAUCAACCUUAAUGCCAUGAUGCAGCAGAACACAGCAAUUUUUGCAGAUAAAUUCUGUACAAAACCACAGAAAACUUAACUGUCUUCAGGCACAGUAUGGAGGGGCUAUUCUGCCACAUUUCUCAAUUUUUUAUGCUUUAUUUUCAGCAGUCUUCCACCCUGUGAGCUGUUUUCCCUCCCACCCCCUCAGAACCUAAUGAAAAUUUUAUGCCAUUUUUUGAUAGUAAACAGACCUCCCCGUUUUCAAUGCUUAACCCUGUGAUGGGCAGAGAAACUUAACUCUUGUGCAGAGAAGGGAACCUGGCACGGGGCAGCCUAGUGACCCACAGAAGUCCCUGCAGGAAAUACACGGCAGACUGGGAAAGACGUGUUCUUGGUUGCUGAUCCGCGUGGCAGCCCUCCUCUCCCGCUUGCUGCUUGGACUCGAGUGUUCGUUGUCCCUCAUGCUGAACGCAGGGCUCUUGCUAGGAAUGAGCCCUGCACCCAAACGAAAGACAACAAACGCUAGAAAGAGAAAACCCACGACGUAGGACAGAUGUGCCUCCAGACCCUGGAAGUGAGACUCCCGAUUCCUGCCUCAGCCGCCGGCCCAUCUGCUUUUUCCAGUUCAGAGGCUCUGGACGUGGUCUCCAGAGGAGCAUCUGUCUUCUCAGCUGCCCGGGCUCAGGUACUGCAGCUGCAUUGCUGAGAACUGAAACGUUUUGUUCUCUUCCUGGUUUCUACUCCGUCUCCUCAUGUUACAGUUCUUCCUUCCCAUUUCUUCCUGUCUUGUAAAAAAAAAAAUACCUCUGUUCUACUACGGCCACUACUACUGCUAUUACUACUACUAACAAUAA
rnacentral:lncRNA from 1 species